CCUGCGGAGGGAUCAUUACCGAGUUCAUGCCCUGACGGGUAGACCUCCCACCCUAUGUUAUAUUACCUUUGUUGCUUUGGCGGGCCGCCCGGCUUCGGCCAGGCUACCGGCUCCAGCUGGUAAGCGCUCGCCAGAGGACCCCCAACUCUGAAUAUCAGUGUCGUCCGAGUACUAUAAAAUAGUUAAAACUUUCAACAACGGAUCUCUUGGUUCUGGCAUCGAUGAAGAACGCAGCGAAAUGCGAUAAGUAAUGUGAAUUGCAGAAUUCAGUGAAUCAUCGAAUCUUUGAACGCACAUUGCGCCCCUUGGUAUUCCGAGGGGCAUGCCUGUUCGAGCGUCAUUACAACCCUCAAGCACUGCUUGGUAUUGGGCUCCGCUGGCUCCAGCGGGCCUUAAAAUCAGUGGCGGCGCCGUUUGGGCUCUGAGCGUAGUAAAUAUCCUCGCUAUAGAGACCAGGCGGUUCUUGUCAUCAACCCCCAACUUUCUAAGUUUGACCUCGGAUCAGGUAGGGAUACCCGCUGAACUUAAGCAUAUCAAAA
rnacentral:rRNA from 1 species